rnacentral:rRNA from 1 species
CUAAUACUGGAUAUGACUUCUCACCGCAUGGUGGGGGGUGGAAAGAUUUAUUGGUCUUGGAUGGACUCGCGGCCUAUCAGCUUGUUGGUGAGGUAAUGGCUCACCAAGGCGACGACGGGUAGCCGGCCUGAGAGGGUGACCGGCCACACUGGGACUGAGACACGGCCCAGACUCCUACGGGAGGCAGCAGUGGA